UUUGUUUUUUUUUGAGUUUUUUGAUUGAAUACAUGUUUUGAUUUGUUUUCUCGAUUAGAAAAUCAUUUGGUCAAACGAGACCACAUUUGCGUUACUUCAACGGGUUAUUGUGGAGAAAUAAACGGAAGAAUCCAAAGACCCCAAAAUCAGAUUUCUAAGUGAUGUUCAAAAAGAAAAUAUUCUUAAGAAUAUUAACGUUUGGAAAAAAUUUGAGUUGAAGAUGUGUUAAAAAUCGUUUGGAUAUCUUGAAGAAACUUUAUCAUAUGUAUAGAGGCAAUCCGGAAAACCCGCGAGUUCAACGUUAUUUACAGUUUAUCACACUACUUGAUGCAAUUUUUGGUGAUGUACCAAAUGCAUAAAGUAUUAAACUUUUUCUUACAAAAUUUAUUUAUUUUUGAAUUUUUAGUUUUAUUUAUGGUUUUAAUUAUUAAGUAUGUUU
rnacentral:sRNA from 1 species